ACUGAUCCCCAAACACACACAAGCACCCCUCUUGCAGCCCCCCCAAGCAUGUAACCCAAGACACCCAAAUUGCUUACUUGCCAGCCUGCUCUCAUUCUGCAGCAAAAGUUCCUUCCUGUAGGCUUGGCAUCUCUCACUGGGAUGGCUGACUGACAAAUCCGCUCUAAGGCCCUAUCAUCUACUGAUAUGUAUGUGUGUGUGUAUGUCUGUGCGUAAAUUACAUACACAGCAGCCAGCCUCUUGUCUAACCCUGUCUUGCCCUUCCUAUCGCUGGAGAAACAAGUUUGUUUCACUGUUUAUUGCCAUUCAUCAUUAUUUUCUCUUUACUGUUUUAGCUGCAUCUUCCCCUUUCCCGCUCUGAGCCGAAGACCACAAGUUCUGUGGUCAGUCUGUACUUUGAGUGGCUUGGACACCAGCCAGCCAACAAGGAAGGCUGUCCCCAGCACGUAGAGUCAGAAAAAUGACCUUGUAAUUGUCCUAUGGACUUCCAGAUUAAGACUGAGAUCUUGCAUUUGAGCAGAGUUUCUCUGAGAAAAUACGCACCUCAGCAUUGUGUCCAUAUGCAACACUACUGAGUGGAAAGACCCCUAAAUCCUCUUCUGGACCUAUGUAAGUCACUUACCAGCUGCAAAAUGAUUACAGUGGUCCUUGUCUACUUUCAUGAAGUAUAUCUGAUGAGCCAAGUACUCUGUGGUGUAUCCAAGAUGAACAUAACCGCAAUCAAAACAGACCACUGAUGAUGUUUUAAGUAUUAAGGGCUGCAUAUCUUUCUUCUGGUACUUACCAUGGGUUUGCCAACAACAGAGUCAUAUCUUUACUUACAGCCUCAGAAAAAGUCCUGAACCUGAAUUCAAGAGAGGAUUUGGUUUUUCUGAGCACUGAGGGAGCUGGGUGUUGGUUCGGUUCGUGUACUGCUGUCUGUGGCCUUUGUCAUCCUUAGUUCAUGCCAAAGGCUCAGCGUAGGACUUGUCCGUGUUGGCUGCCAUGAAGAAAACAGAACAGAUGCAACAUGGGCAGCACAAACGUCCUCAAACUGCUCCGCCAACGUGCUUCAAUUCUGAAUGAGAAGGACCAGCUUUCUGGGCUGAAUUGACACCUAUCAAUUCCUUCUGCCUGGCUAUUGAGCAGCCGUCGGAUGACAAGACCUUCCCUUGCACUCUGCAGACAGAGGUCAGGUUUGGCCAAGUGAUGUAACGGUCUGUGUUGUGCCAAUCCCACCGGCCGGCUGGACCUGCCACGAAGAGCAUUUCACAGCCUGGAUUUGUCCAGCACUGAAUACGAGCUGCCAGCCUGGAGAAGACGGGCCCAGGCACCUUAUGUGCCUGUUGGAGCAAGCACAAGCAUGGUUCAACAGGAGGGAGGGAGGUUCACUGCUGAAACGUGUGUCUGCUGUGCAUGUGCCUUCUUGCAGUUGAUGCCAAAGUCAUUGAAAGAUGAUCAUCUGCACGGUCAGAGAGAGGCCACCUUCAGAGUGGUGAAGGUCACCCCAGACGGGAUAGUCUUUAGACGACUGAAAAAUACCAGGGGAAAAUAGCUUGAAAAAUAGGACAUGACAGGAGGAGAUCAGCAGCAGGAUCUGACUAGUAGCAAAAAACCUGUUCUGAAUCUUUUCUGUACUGAAAAGAGAGUCCAAAAUGGGAGAAGGAAUUACUAUCCCAGACAAAUACCAUGUCUGAUAUAUAACCUCUCCCCAGCCAAGGUAUUCCCAGUGUCUGUAGUUUUCCAGGGCUCUACUGCAGCAGUCUUGUGACUGCAUACCCAUGCUUGCCAUGCUUCUGAGCACCCUGACCUAUGGCUUGCACAGUGUGCUGCCUUUUCCUCUUGUGGACUGGUGUUCCCUCUCUUUCCAGCCCCAGUUGCUCAGCUUGGUGGUUUUCAGAGCAACUGGCCAUUUCCAUCCUGGCAGUUUGGUCCUCUCAAUACUGAGAGCAGGCUGUGAGACAUCCCAGAGCUCGGGGAGUGGCAUUUCACAGUCUGUAACAUUCAAAUUAACGGGAAUUUCUGAUGUUUGUGGAUUCUGGGUCAGCUGCUCUCAUGACAGUUUCCACCAAAAGUAGGCAGUUUUGCUGGAACUAUAUGAAAUGAGCUUUUUUGUGGCUUUCACCUAUUUACACAGCAACUGGAGGUGGGGUCACCACAUAUGUAAAUGUAUGCAAACCAGCUGUAAUCUAGCUAGCUCAGGUAGGACACCAACUGGGAUAAUCCCCCACACUGCAGUACAUGCAAACUUGCCUGUGACUCAGGGAAUUUGGCUGGCAAUACCAUGCUGAAAUUUGUAUCACUGAAACUUAAUCAUUAUCACUGAUAUCACUACCCAUGAGACAAUAGCGCACCUGAUCUCACCAAAGUCCUAUCUUGGCAGUGUAGCAUUUCUCAAAUGCCUUGAAGCUUGAUUUUGUUCCAUAAAGGCCCAGCCAGCAUGGUUUCAAGAGAGUCAGGUUGGAAUAUAAAACAACAUAGACAUGCAACAAAUACUAUUUAAACCAACACAGGGAGAAUUGAGGACUGUCUGUGUAGCUACACUGUGAAGGCAGAGCUGUAACAAAUACUGUCCAUUUGUUACUCAGGCAUCAGAGCAAAGUAUUGUAAUACGUGCUUAUGAGUGAGUCCAUUACAUGUACAUUUUAUAUGCUAUCAAUAUUUUAGCUGAAUGAAGAAUACAAUCAAUUUGGACACAUUUCACGUAAUUUUGAAAUGCAUUGUGUAAACAUUGCAGAUGUAGGCCGUUUUCCUCCACUGCCUGUGCAUUUUUAUAUGCUGUGAAGUCUAUUUUAAAUAUAUGCGUGAAAUGUGUCAUGAAACAUCUGACAUAUGUGGAAAACAUAUUACUGUACCGUAUGGGCAGUGUAUAAGGUCGCUUGUGAACAGCUUGAAAACAGCAAUCAUUUGCAUAUGGAUAUAUAGCUGUUUGUAUUAUGAUACCAUCAUAGGGGAAUAAGGGGUAUGUCCCAGGUCUACAUGGGUCACUCGCAAUGGCAGUACUCUUGGGCUCAUGAUGAAUAAAGUUAUGGGAACAAAUAGAAAUAACUAAAGUGUUUGGUGCCU